AGAAGAGCCACAUUUUGCCGUUCCGACUCUAAAGCAACUACAUUUCUCUACAGAGCACAGAACUGUAAGAAAUGGUCAAAUAUCACCAAGUGCACAAGACUCAAGACUGGCAUAGUAGAAGACAAAGGUGGAUAUAUGGGAAUCAGUAAAUAAGCUGAAAAUGUGAAAGUCAUGCAAAGAUUUGUUUGAAAAGCAAAACGUUUCAAUAAAAGAUCUUCCUGGAUUAAGAAUCUAAGUGUGAUUUUCAUGAACCACCACCACUAAAGAUCAGAUAAUAUUAUUCAUGCUGCAAUUUGAAAGGGAAGCAAGAGGAAAAUCAGACUGACUCUGCCACUGCAUAAAAUCACCCCCCUGGGAAUGAACGAAGCAUUUCGAGAAUGAGAAAUGGAAUAUUGGUGACACUCUGGCUAACAGUUCCAUCUAGAGUGAACUGCGGUCAUGAUUUUCCAAUAACAGCCUGUUACUAAACCAAGAGAGGGAAACAACAACGCCUGAGAAGAUUUGCAAGAACUUUGCCCAGUUGAGGCCCUUAAUGGAUGCAAUGAAGAGAACUAACUCAAUCAAAUUCUCUUUUUGUAAGAAGAAUAAACUCUAAGUAAAGGGAAAGCUAUGGCAAUCAUGAG